UCAGGGGUGCCGUUCAGAACCAGAUCGAACGGCUGAGAACAAACCCAUUGACCUGAUCUGGAUAAUGCCAGCGUAGGAAGACACA
rnacentral:ncRNA from 1 species